AUUGGAGUGGCCUAACGGUCUAAGGCGCCAGACCCAGAAGUGUUCUUCUGGGUGUUCUGGUUCACGAUAUGGGCGUUGGUUCGAAUCCCACCUUCGACN
rnacentral:tRNA from 1 species